UACCAGCACCCCGAGUGGUCGGGACGAUUAUUGGGCCUAAAGCAUCCGUAGCCGGUUCUGCAAGUCUCCCGUUAAAUCCAACUGCUCAACAGGUGGGCUGCGGAGGAUACUACAGAGCUAGGAGGCAGGAGAGGCAAGCGGUACUCAGUGGGUAGGGGUAAAAUCCGUUGAUCCAUUGAAGACCACCAGUGGCGAAGGCGGCUUGCCAGAAUGCGCUCGACGGUGAGGGAUGAAAGCUGGGGGAGCAAACCGGAUUAGAUACCCCAGUAGUCC
rnacentral:rRNA from 1 species